rnacentral:rRNA from 1 species
AACGAACGCUGGCGGCAGGCCUAACACAUGCAAGUCGAACGCCCUAGCAAUAGGGAGUGGCAGACGGGUGAGUAACACGUGGGAAUAUCCCCCUCAGUACGGAAUAGCCCAGGGAAACUUGGAGUAAUACCGUAUACGUCCGUGAGGAGAAAGAUUUAUCGCUGAGGGAUUAGCCCGCGUCGGAUUAGCUAGUUGGUGAGGUAACGGCUCACCAAGGCGACGAUCCGUAGCUGGUCUGAGAGGACGACCAGCCACAUUGGGACUGAGACACGGCCCAAACUCCUACGGGAGGCAGCAGUGGGGAAUAUUGGACAAUGGGCGCAAGCCUGAUCCAGCCAUGCCGCGUGAGUGACGAAGGCCUUAGGGUUGUAAAGCUCUUUUGGCGGGGACGAUAAUGACGGUACCCGCAGAAUAGGCCCCGGCUAACUUCGUGCCAGCCGCCGCGGUAAUAC